rnacentral:misc_RNA from 1 species
UCCGGUUUGUCACCGGCAGUCCCAUUAGAGUGCCCAACUGAAUGUGGCAACUAAUGGCAAGGGUUGCACUCGUUGCGGGACUUAACCCAACAUCUCACGACACGAGCUGACGACAGCCAUGCAGCACCUGUGUACCUCCCACCCGAAGUGAAGGAAUCCAUCUCUGGAAACCAUAGAGGGCAUGUCAAAGCCUGGUAAGGUUCUUCGCGUUGCCUCGAAUUAAACCACAUGUUCCACCGCUUGUGCGGGUCCCCGUCAAUUCCUUUGAGUUUUAAUCUUGCGACCGUACUCCCCAGGCGGGAUGCUUAACGCGUUAGCUGCGCCACCGGGAGGUAACCCCCCGACGGCUAGCAUCCAUCGUUUACAGCGUGGACUAC